rnacentral:rRNA from 1 species
UACGGAGGGUGCUAGCGUUGUUCGGAAUUACUGGGCGUAAAGGGCGCGUAGGCGGCCGUUUGCGUCGGAUGUGAAAGCCCGGGGCUCAACCUCGGAACGGCAUUCGAUACGGGACGGCUAGAGACCGGGAGAGGAGAGUGGAAUAGCCAGUGUAGAGGUGAAAUUCGUAGAUAUUGGCUGGAACACCGGUGGCGAAGGCGGCAUCCUGAACCAACACUGACGCUGAGGAGCGAAAGCCAGGGGAGCAAACGGG